AUUGAACGCUGGCGGCAGGCUUAACACAUGCAAGUCGAGCGGGGUGAUGGUGGUUGCACUAUCACUUAGCGGCGGACGGGUGAGUAAUGCUUAGGAAUCUGCCUAUUAGUGGGGGACAACAUCUCGAAAGGGAUGCUAAUACCGCAUACGUCCUACGGGAGAAAGCAGGGGAUCACUUGUGACCUUGCGCUAAUAGAUGAGCUUAAGUCGGAUUAGCUAGUUGGUGGGGUAAAGGCCUACCAAGGCGACGAUCUGUAGCGGGUCUGAGAGGAUGGUCCGCCACACUGGGACGGAGACACGGCCCAGACUCCUACGGGAGGCAGCAGGGGGGAAUAGUGGACAAUGGGGGGAACCCUGAUCCAGCCAUGCCGCGUGUGUGAAGAAGGCCUUAUGGUUGUAAAGCACUUUAAGCGAGGAGGAGGCUCUUUUGGUUAAUACCCAAGAUGAGUGGACGUUACUCGCAGAAUAAGCACCGGCUAACUCUGUGCCAGCCGCCGCGGUAA
rnacentral:rRNA from 1 species